rnacentral:misc_RNA from 1 species
UUCCAGUAUUAUAUAUUAGUCUAUGGAAAGGCUAACCGGCAAUAUUUUGUUCCUGAAAUGUUUACUUAUAUUUUUACGUUGUUUUUCUUAUCGUAUUUGAUUUCUUUGAAUGCUGACAAUGAAUUUUGUACGGGCGAAGGAUUUUGCAAUACAGACCAUAACAAGUACAGCAGGGAAAUCAAUGAAUGGUAUUCAAAAAUAAAUAGCGAAAUAAACUUGGCCAUAGAUCAGUAUAUUCCGUGCCAACGAGUUAACUGCAGCUGUUAUAAAUCUGUGAUAGAUCAAGAUCUGAAACCAUUCAAGGAUGGUAUUACCAAGGAACAAUAUGCACAAGCUCGCACAAAAGCUACUAAGUACCAGAUAAUAGAUGGAACACUAUUCAGAGAAAAAGAUUGCCCUUUCCCAGCUAGAUGUGCAGGUAUAGAACAUUAUUUGAGUGCACUGGCACCAAAUAUGCCCAAUAUAGAAUUGGCCAUAAACACAAGGGACUGGCCACAAAUCAACCGAGCAUGGGGCCAUUCUCAGGCACCAGUAUUAUCAUUCAGUAAGAUGCGAGACUACUAUGAUAUAAUGUACCCAGCUUGGAGUUUUUGGGAAGGUGGACCAGCCAUAUCCCUCUAUCCUACAGGCAUAGGUAGAUGGGACAAGCACAGGGAAUCAAUUUCUGCUGCAGCUGAAAAGUGGCCUUGGCAAAAGAAAGAAACCAAAGCAUUCUUUCGCGGAUCAAGAACAAGUGAGGAGAGAGAUGCAUUAAUACUGCUCUCUCGUGCCAACCCGGAUAUUGUUGACGCGCAAUAUACAAAAAAUCAAGCUUGGAAAUCAGAUGCGGUGUGAAAAGGAUGAGAAUUCGUGAAAACUAAACAACGAAAGAAAUAAAAAACAUCCACGAAGUAAAACUAGAAUUCUGUUGGACACAUUAUACGCUCCGCCAGCUUCAGAAGUAUCGUUCGAAGAUCAUUGCAAA